rnacentral:rRNA from 1 species
UACGGAGGGUGCGAGCGUUGUCCGGAAUCAUUGGGCGUAAAGGGCGCGUAGGUGGCCCGGUCAGUUCGUGGUGAAAGCGCGGGGCUCAACCCUGCGUCGGCCAUGAAUACUGCCGCGGCUGGAGCACUGUAGAGGCAGGCGGAAUUCCGGGGUGUAGCGGUGGAAUGCGUAGAGAUCCGGAAGAACACCGGUGGCGAAGGGCGGCCUGCUGGGCGAGGUCGCUGACACUUGAGGCGCGACAGCGUGGG